ACAGUGCGCGCUGCGCUCCGCCCCACUCGGUUCCGCUCCGCAGAGCCGGCGCGGCCAGGGCGCGGGGAGGGCGGCAGUCGGCCCCGACGCCUGCAGCCUCACGCGCUCCCUCGGCGGCGGCACCUGGGCUCCCCGACCGCUCCCCCGAGGCCACACUCGCAGUGCCCGUGGGAGGGGCUGUGUGCCCGCGACCUGUCGGGACCGCGGCUGCUCGGCAAGAGGGCAAGGGCCAAGACCGCACGACGGCACACGCGGGACAGGUCCCUGGAUGAGAAGGAGCUGACAGCAGCCGAGCCCCACCUUCUCUGUGUGCUGGGGAGCGGGGCUGCGCCGCCCCGGUGGCCCAAUGCCGAAGAACAGCAAGGUGACUCAGCGCGAGCACAGCAGUGAGCAUGUCACGGAGUCGGUGGCCGACCUGCUGGCCCUUGAGGAGCCCGUGGACUAUAAACAGAGUGUCCUGAACGUGGCCGGCGAGGCAGGUGGCAAGCAGAAGGCGGCGGAGGAGGAGCUGGAUGCGGAGGACAGGCCGGCCUGGAACAGCAAGCUGCAGUACAUUCUGGCCCAGAUCGGCUUCUCCGUGGGCCUCGGCAACAUCUGGAGGUUCCCCUACCUGUGCCAGAAAAAUGGAGGAGGUGCCUACCUGGUGCCCUACCUGGUGCUGCUGAUCAUCAUUGGGAUCCCGCUCUUCUUCCUGGAGCUGGCUGUGGGCCAGAGGAUCCGCCGCGGCAGCAUCGGCGUGUGGCACUACGUGUGCCCCCGCCUGGGUGGCAUCGGCUUCUCCAGCUGCAUAGUCUGCCUCUUUGUCGGGCUGUAUUAUAAUGUGAUCAUCGGGUGGAGCAUCUUCUACUUCUUCAAGUCCUUCCAGUACCCGCUGCCCUGGAGUGAGUGCCCUGUCGUCAGGAAUGGGACCGUGGCAGUGGUGGAGCCAGAGUGUGAGAAGAGCUCAGCCACUACCUACUUCUGGUACCGAGAGGCCUUGGACAUCUCCAACUCCAUCUCGGAGAGCGGGGGCCUCAACUGGAAGAUGACCCUGUGCCUCCUCGUGGCCUGGAGCAUCGUGGGCAUGGCUGUGGUCAAGGGCAUCCAGUCCUCAGGGAAGGUGAUGUAUUUCAGCUCCCUCUUCCCCUACGUGGUGCUGGCCUGCUUCCUGGUCCGGGGGCUGCUGCUGCGAGGGGCCAUUGACGGCAUCCUCCACAUGUUCACGCCCAAGCUGGACAAGAUGCUGGACCCCCAGGUGUGGCGGGAGGCGGCCACCCAGGUCUUCUUCGCCCUGGGGCUGGGCUUCGGGGGCGUCAUCGCCUUCUCCAGCUACAACAAGCAGGACAACAACUGCCACUUCGACGCCGCCCUGGUGUCCUUCAUCAACUUCUUCACCUCGGUGCUGGCCACCCUCGUGGUGUUCGCCGUGCUGGGCUUCAAGGCCAACAUCAUGAACGAGAAGUGUGUGGUCGAGAACGCCGAGAAGAUCCUGGGGUACCUCAACACCGACGUCCUGAGCCGGGCCCUCAUCCCUCCGCACGUCAACUUCUCCCACCUGAGCGCCAGGGACUACGCCGAGAUGUACAAAGUCAUCAGGACCGUGAAGGAGGACCGUUUCCCCGCCCUGGGCCUCGACCCCUGCCUUCUGGAGGACGAGCUGGACAAGUCCGUGCAGGGCACAGGCCUGGCCUUCAUCGCCUUCACCGAGGCCAUGACGCACUUCCCCGCCUCCCCGUUCUGGUCGGUCAUGUUCUUCCUGAUGCUCAUCAACCUGGGCCUGGGCAGCAUGAUCGGGACCAUGGCGGGCAUCACCACGCCCAUCAUCGACACCUUCAAGGUGCCCAAGGAGAUGUUCACAGUGGGCUGCUGUGUCUUUGCAUUCUUCGUGGGGCUGUUGUUCGUCCAGCGCUCCGGAAACUACUUUGUCACCAUGUUUGAUGACUACUCGGCCACCCUGCCGCUCACCCUCAUUGUCAUCCUUGAGAACGUCGCGGUGGCCUGGAUCUAUGGAACCAAGAAGUUCAUGCAGGAGCUGACAGAGAUGCUGGGCUUCCGGCCCUACCGCUUCUAUUUCUACAUGUGGAAGUUCGUGUCUCCACUGUGCAUGGCUGUGCUCACCACGGCCAGCAUCAUCCAGCUGGGGGUUACGCCCCCGGGCUACAGCGCCUGGAUCAAGGAGGAGGCUGCCGAGCGCUACCUGUACUUCCCUAACUGGGCCAUGGCGCUCCUGAUCACGCUCAUCGUCCUGGCCGUGCUGCCCAUCCCCGUGGGCUUCGUCCUGCGGCACUUCCACCUGCUCUCCGACGGCUCCAACACCCUCUCCGUGUCCUACAAGAAGGGCCGCAUGAUGAAGGAGAUCUCCAACCUGGAGGAGAACGACGAGACCCGCUUCAUCCUCAGCAAGGUGCCCAGCGAGGCGCCCUCCCCCAUGCCCACCCACCGCUCCUACCUGGGGCCUGGCAGCACAUCGCCCCUGGAGACCAGCGGCAACCCCAACGGACGCUACGGGAGCGGCUACCUCCUGGCCAGCACCCCCGAGUCAGAGCUGUGACCACCGCCCCGCCCUGCCUGCCUCGUCCCCCGCUCCCCGCCAGCCGGCCUGCCUGUCCCAGCCUGGCCUCUCCUUCCGGGCCAGGCCCUCCGCCCAAGGGGAGGGGGCUGCCCUGCCUCAUCCCCCACCCCGAUCCCGGCCCAUUUCUGCCCCCUCAAUCUGAGUGGGUGCUGGGAGAAGCUCUGGCCCCCAGUCUAGGCCCCCAAUGCAGCUAACCUUCUGAGAGCCUCGUACCAAAUUGCAGCUGAGUAGCUGGAACCAUCUAGAAAUCCCGAUUCCCAGCGCAACACAGGGCCACUCUAGGGGUCACUCCGCUCUCCCUUUCUCCCUGGCACCUGGCACCUGCAGUUCUGCGGUCUCAGGGCCCUUUAGGUCUGUGCUGCCAGGCAGGGGUGGUGCUGGGAGGUACCGGGGUGGGUUGGAUAGCCGUGUCUCAUCCUGACUUAGGGGUGGGUCAGAUGUGCCAGGACUCAGGGCUCAGACUUGGGACGGCGUCUGCACAAGUCCCCAAGUUCUGUUUGGUGAGGCAGGUGGGGCCCUCUGGUUUGAGCAGCAGCCUGGGCCGCAGGGGUGGGGGGGCUGAGGGGGCUCCUCUGGCCCCAGCUCAGGGGGGAACCCCCAAGUCCUUGGCCCUGCCUUGGGUGGGUGGGGCGUGCUCUCAAAUCCUGCCUGGGGGGUUGAUGACUGGCCCCGGAACCCCUCCCACCUCCCUUAGGGCUUCUCCUGCCCUCUCCCUCCACCUGCCUCCUGGAGCCCUGGGUGGCGGCCCUGCCUCCCUCCUCAAGAGCGGGGGGGCACAGCACAUGGAGGGCACACCUGAUGGUUCCCAGCACAAUUCAGAUGGUUCGGAGCACAGCUGUGAAGCACACACCCCUUCCCCUCUUGCCUGGGGCCCGACUUUCUCACUAGUGGCAGCUUCUCCCCCAGAACAGCGGUCCCUGGACGUCAGGGGCUCACACCCGGGGAAAGAGAUGAUUUCACUGCCCCUUUGGGCCACCACCCCCUCCUUGUACAAGCACAGCCCCCCCCCUCGUGUGCACAUCAUGUGGGGACACCUCGGAAGCCUUUCCCAAGCUGCCUGGCCUGUGGCAGGGAGGGCCACGGACAGUGCUGUGGACACUGCAAGCUGCCAGGGGACGGGCCAGCCCUCUGUCCUGGGGCUCAGUCCCACACGUGCUGACCCAACUUACCUUCCCCUUCCCCAGAAGGGGGCUUCCUUUGGAGUAUAGACUCAGAGGAGCAGAACCUGACCGGGGAGCAGAAGUCUGCAGAGCAAUAGAUAGAAGAAUGGAAGGAUGGAUGGAUGGAUGGAUGGAUGGAUGGGUGGAUGGAUGGAAGGAUGGAGGGAGGGAAGGAUGGAUGGAUAGAUGGAGGGAGGGAAGGAUGGAUGGAUAGAUGGAGGGAAGGAUGGAUGAAUGGAGGAGGGAAGGAUGGAUGAAUGAAUGGGAGGGAGGAAGGAAUUCUGGCUGGGACAGCAAAUCUCCAUCUUUGAGAGCUAUGGUGGGCAGGGCAGGGCGGGCCACAGUGCUUGGCCUGGCUCCCUUCACAGAGGGUCCUGACUCACUCUGUGCCUCUGACUGCUCUCAGCCUGGGAGGGACAGACUAGGCCCAGGGCGCCGUCCUUCACCCCUUAGUCUCUUGGUUCCUCCCCCUCCUUGGAGUCCACCCAGCACCUCCCUUACCCGUCCCCCCACCCCGUGCUCCCAUUUGCAGCCCUCUCAGCCACACCCAUCCUUCCUGCGUGUGUGAGGGGAGAGGGAGACCCACAUCUCCCCAAAAACGUGAGCUUUGGGGGCACAACAUCCCCCCUUAGGCCUCCUCACCUGACACCACCUGCUCCCUGGCCCCGUGCCUGAUCCCAAGCAGAAAUAGCAACAGGAAGCACAGGGCGCCGGGAGAGACACUGGACUAAAUAUACUCUUCUGUGUAUUCUUUCUAUUGUAUAUUCAAUCUGUACAUGUGGGUGUAAAUGCUGGUAAAUGACAAACCCAAUAUUAUACUGUGGCUGGUGGACUAUUUUCAUCCUCAGUGCUGUACAGAUCUAUUUUCAUUGUAUAUUUGAGAUAUUUUUAAUUUUGUAGCGUGUCGCUGGCCCAGGCCCCAGCCUGCCAACCUGAGACAGGGUGACUGAGCCGGGCAUCUUCUCCGUCCUCGUGGGCUGGGUAGUGCUUGUAGCCACUGCUGUGAGCAGGGCCCUAUCCUGCUGUGUCUGCUGUUAACUGUAGGGCCUGGAGCUUGGCAUGCGUGUGUGCGUGUGUGUGUGUGUGUGUGUGCACAUACGUGGGUGUGGGUGUGUGUAGGCUGCUAAUUUGUGUUUCCCAGCGUUCACCACAACCCUGAAGACCACGCCGCCGCCACCUCCUGCCCCUCCUCUCAGCUCCAUCAGGCGAGGUCGCAGGGCAGGGUCCCGUGGGAAGUGCCCUCUGUGGGAAAGGCACACGCUUCUGACGGGUGACACAUUGCCUUCACACCAGCGGGCUUGCCCGAAACGGGGAAGGGAGGUCUUGGGGGCACGGGGGAGGUCCUUAAAUUUCUUUCCCAGCCAGCCUCUUGCUGUGCCCACUGGAGGCACAAGCUCUUCACUCCCAGAGUAAGCGCUGGGUUUCUUAAGAGGACGAGACCCCAAGAGGGCAUCGGCUCACGGGGCCCCUGUCCUGUGUGUGUCCUUGACACAUGCCACCUGGGAGUGGGGCAGGGCCGAGAGCAGGUGGGGCAUCUGACCAGGUCAGACCAGCCCCAGAGCCCCCGCAGGAGCAGGAGGUGGCCAGAGGGGCAGGCCCCUAUGCUCCUGCACAGGGUCUCCACCCCAAUGACUUUGGUGCUGUCCUUGCAGUGCCCACAGGGGACAGAGCGGACCCAGGGCAGAGCAGGGCAGGGCUGUACCGGAAAGAGUCCCUGGUCCUGCCUCUGCUUGCCCUCCAGCCCCAGUCACCAGCUUCUUGCUCAGGGAGCCCUCUCUGCUGAGGCAGCUUGCAGCCGAGGCCCAGAUGGGGUGAGCCGGUGGGCACACAGGCUGGUGCCAGCCAGGUUGGCUUUUGCCCUCAAGCAGUAAGUCUGUGGGGGCUGCUGCUCUUCUAGUGCCCGGAGAAGCCCUCCUGAGUCAGUCUGCCACUGGCCACGUGGCUGGCAGGGGGCGGAAGCCGCAUGGGCCCAGGCCUGAGCGGGCUGCCGCGUUAUGAUGGGCAGGGGGCGGCCCUCUGCCCAUCCUCACUGCACCUCCCCCUCCCCACCAGAGCACAGGUUGGAAUGCACGCGACUCCCUGAGCCCUGAACCUGGGGGCCCACUGCCCCUUCACUGGAGCCUAGUGACUGGAGGCGAGGGGGGAGGGUCCGGGGUCCCCGCUCAUCCCAGCCCUGCUUUGUACAGACCCAAGCGCACCUGGCAGACGUCACUUUAGGUUCUGGCACCAGCUCAGAACAAUUCCAGUCCACGUGCCCCACACUAGACAAGAGUCCUGGGUCAUGACCGCUCAGCCCAGGGGAGGGAACAAGGCAUUGUCACCCCUGGAGACCCUCUUUCCUCUCUUUCCUCCCAUGGUGUACAAUAAAGCGUCUGUUCUUACCAAACCC
rnacentral:lncRNA from 1 species